rnacentral:rRNA from 1 species
UUCUAACCGUAAACGAUGCCAACCAGCGAUCCGUGGGAGUUAAACCUAUGACUCCACGGGCAGCUUCCGGGAAACCAAAGUCUUUGGGUUCCGGGGGAAGUAUGGUUGCAAAGCUGAAACUUAAAGGAAUUGACGGAAGGGCACCACCAGGAGUGGAGCCUGCGGCUUAAUUUGACUCAACGCGGGGAAACUCACCCGGCCCGGACACCGUAAGGAUUGACAGAUUGAGAGCUCUUUCUUGAUUCGGUGGGUGGUGGUGCAUGGCCGUUCUUAGUUGGUGGAGCGAUUUGUCUGGUUAAUUCCGAUAACGAACGAGACUCUAGCCUAUUAAAUAGUCGACGGAUCAUUAGUCCGUUGUACUUCUUAGAGGGACAGAAGGCUUCUAGCCUUACGAGAUUGAGCAAUAACAGGUCUGUGAUGCCCUUAGAUGUCCGGGGCUGCACGCGCGCUACACUGAAGGAAUCAACGUGUCUGCUUCCUGCUUCGAAAGGAGUGGGUAACCCGUUGAAACUCCUUCGUGAUUGGGAUAGGGGCUUGUAAUUAUUCCCCUUGAACGAGGAAUUCCUAGUAAGCGCGGGUCAACAUCUCGUGUUG